rnacentral:rRNA from 2 species
UUAAGCGACUAAGCGUACACGGUGGAUGCCCUGGCAGUCAGAGGCGAUGAAGGACGUGCUAAUCUGCGAUAAGCGCCGGUAAGGUGAUAUGAACCGUUAUAACCGGCGAUUUCCGAAUGGGGAAACCCAGUGUGAUUCGUCACACUAUCAUUAACUGAAUCCAUAGGUUAAUGAGGCGAACCGGGGGAACUGAAACAUCUAAGUACCCCGAGGAAAAGAAAUCAACCGAGAUUCCCCCAGUAGCGGCGAGCGAACGGGGAGGAGCCCAGAGCCUGAAUCAGCAUGUGUGUUAGUGGAAGCGUCUGGAAAGGCGCGCGAUACAGGGUGACAGCCCCGUACACAAAAGCGCAUGUGCUGUGAGCUCGAUGAGUAGGGCGGGACACGUGGUAUCCUGUCUGAAUAUGGGGGGACCAUCCUCCAAGGCUAAAUACUCCUGACUGACCGAUAGUGAACCAGUACCGUGAGGGAAAGGCGAAAAGAACCCCGGCGAGGGGAGUGAAAAAGAACCUGAAACCGUGUACGUACAAGCAGUGGGAGCACAGGUUUACCUGUGUGACUGCGUACCUUUUGUAUAAUGGGUCAGCGACUUAUAUUCUGUAGCAAGGUUAACCGAAUAGGGGAGCCGGAGGGAAACCGAGUCUUAAUUGGGCGUUAAGUUGCAGGGUAUAGACCCGAAACCCGGUGAUCUAGCCAUGGGCAGGUUGAAGGUUGGGUAACACUAACUGGAGGACCGAACCGACUAAUGUUGAAAAAUUAGCGGAUGACCUGUGGCUGGGGGUGAAAGGCCAAUCAAACCGGGAGAUAGCUGGUUCUCCCCGAAAGCUAUUUAGGUAGCGCCUCGUGAAUUCAUCUCCGGGGGUAGAGCACUGUUUCGGCUAGGGGGCCAUCCCGGCUUACCAACCCGAUGCAAACUGCGAAUACCGGAGAAUGUUAUCACGGGAGACACACGGCGGGUGCUAACGUCCGUCGUGAAGAGGGAAACAACCCAGACCGCCAGCUAAGGUCCCAAAGUCAUGGUUAAGUGGGAAACGAUGUGGGAAGGCCCAGACAGCCAGGAUGUUGGCUUAGAAGCAGCCAUCAUUUAAAGAAAGCGUAAUAGCUCACUGGUCGAGUCGGCCUGCGCGGAAGAUGUAACGGGGCUAAACCAUGCACCGAAGCUGCGGCAGCGAACGUAUCACCCAAGACAACUUUACGGAGUUGACGAUUGACGGAGCGAAGCGACGUCAAAGCGUUCAUUAAAGUCGAGUUGGCUUAGGGAUACGUUCGUUGGGUAGGGGAGCGUUCUGUAAGCCUGUGAAGGUGUGUCGUGAGGCAUGCUGGAGGUAUCAGAAGUGCGAAUGCUGACAUAAGUAACGAUAAAGCGGGUGAAAAGCCCGCUCGCCGGAAGACCAAGGGUUCCUGUCCAACGUUAAUCGGGGCAGGGUGAGUCGACCCCUAAGGCGAGGCCGAAAGGCGUAGUCGAUGGGAAACGGGUUAAUAUUCCCGUACUUGGUGUUACUGCGAAGGGGGGACGGAGAAGGCUAUGUUGGCCGGGCGACGGUUGUCCCGGUUUAAGCGUGUAGGUGUGUGUUCCAGGUAAAUCCGGUUCACUUUAACACUGAGGCGUGACGACGAGGCACUACGGUGCUGAAGCAACAAAUGCCCUGCUUCCAGGAAAAGCCUCUAAGCAUCAGGUAACACGAAAUCGUACCCCAAACCGACACAGGUGGUCAGGUAGAGAAUACCAAGGCGCUUGAGAGAACUCGGGUGAAGGAACUAGGCAAAAUGGUGCCGUAACUUCGGGAGAAGGCACGCUGACACGUAGGUGAAGUGAUUUACUCAUGGAGCUGAAGUCAGUCGAAGAUACCAGCUGGCUGCAACUGUUUAUUAAAAACACAGCACUGUGCAAACACGAAAGUGGACGUAUACGGUGUGACGCCUGCCCGGUGCCGGAAGGUUAAUUGAUGGGGUCAGCGCAAGCGAAGCUCCUGAUCGAAGCCCCGGUAAACGGCGGCCGUAACUAUAACGGUCCUAAGGUAGCGAAAUUCCUUGUCGGGUAAGUUCCGACCUGCACGAAUGGCGUAAUGAUGGCCAGGCUGUCUCCACCCGAGACUCAGUGAAAUUGAACUCGCUGUGAAGAUGCAGUGUACCCGCGGCAAGACGGAAAGACCCCGUGAACCUUUACUAUAGCUUGACACUGAACAUUGAGCCUUGAUGUGUAGGAUAGGUGGGAGGCUUUGAAGUGUGGACGCCAGUCUGCAUGGAGCCGACCUUGAAAUACCACCCUUUAAUGUUUGAUGUUCUAACGUGGACCCGUAAUCCGGGUUGCGGACAGUGUCUGGUGGGUAGUUUGACUGGGGCGGUCUCCUCCUAAAGAGUAACGGAGGAGCACGAAGGUUGGCUAAUCCUGGUCGGACAUCAGGAGGUUAGUGCAAUGGCAUAAGCCAGCUUGACUGCGAGCGUGACGGCGCGAGCAGGUGCGAAAGCAGGUCAUAGUGAUCCGGUGGUUCUGAAUGGAAGGGCCAUCGCUCAACGGAUAAAAGGUACUCCGGGGAUAACAGGCUGAUACCGCCCAAGAGUUCAUAUCGACGGCGGUGUUUGGCACCUCGAUGUCGGCUCAUCACAUCCUGGGGCUGAAGUAGGUCCCAAGGGUAUGGCUGUUCGCCAUUUAAAGUGGUACGCGAGCUGGGUUUAGAACGUCGUGAGACAGUUCGGUCCCUAUCUGCCGUGGGCGCUGGAGAACUGAGGGGGGCUGCUCCUAGUACGAGAGGACCGGAGUGGACGCAUCACUGGUGUUCGGGUUGUCAUGCCAAUGGCACUGCCCGGUAGCUAAAUGCGGAAGAGAUAAGUGCUGAAAGCAUCUAAGCACGAAACUUGCCCCGAGAUGAGUUCUCCCUGAGACUUAGAGUCUCCUGAAGGAACGUUGAAGACGACGACGUUGAUAGGCCGGGUGUGUAAGCGCAGCGAUGCGUUGAGCUAACCGGUACUAAUGAACCGUGAGGCUUAACCU